UUUACAUCCAGAGGAGGGAGGAGCUGGCGAUCUAAUGCCCGGGGAAAGCUGAAAGCAGUAGUAGCAGCAGCAGCAGCAGCCUGCUCUAGCAAUUGGUGUGACCUUGUGCAGCCGCUGCUUUCCCUGUCUUGAGUAAGCUGCCUGUCCUCUUGAGCUGCGGUGGAACCGGGGCGUGCCGGCGUGAAGGGACCCAGAUCAGAAGCACAGAUGCUGGAAAGCAGAACUGAAGCAACUGUUGAAGAACUGCCCCCUCAUUUGAGGGAAGGACCUCCUGAAGCCUCUGAGCCUCCCCAAAAGCUGGAAAUCCUGGAAACCAGGUUGAUAUCUUUUCUGCACACAGUAGGAGGAUGCUCUGCUCAGAUUCCUGGAAUUCCAUGUGUGCCUCAUCUCAUACCCAUGGCAGGAGCCUCUCAAUCCUUGAAAAUGGCUUUUCAAGGGACUUGGUGGGCUGGAGGAAGAAGAAGGGGACUGGGGGAAAUGGACACCACUGUGGAUGUUUCCCUUUCUCUCUGAAGCUGUUCAAGUUUGAGCCCUGUACUUUUCAUGGGGAAUAUUAGAAGUCAGUGUAUGAAAUGUUUUCUUCAGUAAAAGUCCAUCAACACAAUUUUUUGCCUUAUGAUGAAUCCCUUUCUUAGAGAAAUGGUGCAAUCCUGUACAUGAUCCCUCAAAAGUAAGUCUAAUUGAGUUGAAUGGGGCUUACUUCCAAGUACAUUUGCGUAGGAUUGUAGCCCAAGUCUUACAUACCUGUACAAUUAUUUUAUUCUCAAGUCUGAAUUAGUGGCGAAGAUUUUCUUGUGUAUCAUGAAAGUCUUUUGAACUUGCUUGUUGAGUACUGAAUAACAGCAAGGACCUACAAAUGUGGAAGAGGAAUGUCUCCAUUAGACAGCCCACAGAAGUCAGCCAGCUGGUGCCAGGGAUCGUACUGGUGAUGCUCAUAGAGCAACACAAGCAGUGUCUGCAACUCAGCACUGACUGUAAAUUAAGAUAUAGCAGCCACUUCACUUUCCAGUUGGCUUCAUGACAGUUGAGCUCAGUAUGAGAAGCUGUAGAGGGAAAUGGGAAGAAUUACUUCUGCUUUCAUAAUUGCCCCCUUUUCUUCCACCCUUUCCUCACCUAAACCUUUAUUUUACUGACCUCUGGCAACAUGAACCUGUCCAGAAAGCUAAUUUUUGAAUGUUUAGUGACUGCUGUACUGAGAACACUGUCAGGAGUAUUGCUCCCAGUCCUCCACUGUGAAUACCCUCAACUUAUACUCCCUAGUGGGGUGGAUGGAAGGAUGUGGAAUGAUAAAAUUGCCCAUUGAUUCAGUUGAUUGGCUAGUUUGCAGUUUAGUUGCUAGCCCAGAAGUCUAUGUAGAAAACUUGGUUCUCAACAUCAGUGGUUCCCAACCUGGAGGCUUCCAGAUGUUGCUGAUCAGCCCCUGCUACAAUUGAUUGUGGCUGAGGAUGAUGAGAAUUGUAGUUCAGCAACAUCAGGAGGCCCUCCUAGGUUGAGAACCACUGCUCUGCCCAGAACAUAAAGAGGCAGAUAUGAAUAUGCAGGUUGUUUCACCACUUAUACCUGAUUAAGAAAUGUGGAUGAUUGCUAUAUAGAUUUAUUAAAGACAUGUUAAUUUGCAACAGCAAAAGACAAAGAAUGUUGCAUCUCCCUAGAGAUUGGCAUGCACCAUCACAUCUCUUCAUGCACCUGUCGAAGUGGGUUGUGUAACCAAUGAAAGCUCAUGUUGUUUUCUGUUUUUAAAUUUCUUGUUUUUGUUUUUAACUAAUGUUUUACUUUUGUUUUUAUCUUGUUGUAAACCGCCCAGAGACAUGGGUUUUGGGUGGUAUAAAAAUAUUUUAAAUAAAUAAAUAAUAAAUAAUGUUGCAAUAAAUUGGUCUCUAAGUGACA